UUUAUCUUGGUGUAACGCACGUAAUAUUUUGAUUAUUAAGGAAGUUUUCUAGGUGGUU
rnacentral:tRNA from 1 species